rnacentral:rRNA from 1 species
UACGUAGGUGACCAGCGUUGUCCGGAAUCAUUGGGCGUAAAGCGCGUGUAGGCGGCUGAGUAAGUCUGCUCUGAAAGCCCGGGGCUCAACCCCGGGAGGCGGGUGGAUACUGCUCAGCUCGAGUCCGGAAGAGGAGUGUGGAAUUCCUGGUGUAGCGGUGAAAUGCGCAGAUAUCAGGAGGAACACCAAUGGCGAAGGCAGCACUCUGGGACGGUACUGACGCUGAGACGCGAAAAGCGUGGGGAGCAAACAGG